CCUACGGGGGGCAGCAGUCGAGAAUCUUCCGCAAUGGGCGAAAGCCUGACGGAGCGAUACAGCGUGAUGGAUGAAGUGGUUCGCCACGUAAACAUCUUUUAUGAGGGACGAAAUUAUUGACGGUACCUCAUGAAUAAGGGGCUCCUAACUCUGUGCCAGCAGGAGCGGUAAUACAGAGGCCCCAAGCGUUAUCCGGAAUCAUUGGGCGUAAAGGGUGUCGAGGCGGUCAUGUUAGUCUUCCGUAAAAACCAGGAGCUCAACUUCUGGCCCGCGGG
rnacentral:rRNA from 1 species